rnacentral:rRNA from 1 species
UAUUCAAUAGCGGAGGAAAAGAAACCAACCGGGAUUGCCUUAGUAACGGCGAGUGAAGCGGCAAAAGCUCAAAUUUGAAAUCUGGUACCUUCGGUGCCCGAGUUGUAAUUUGGAGAGGGCAACUUUGGGGCCGUUCCUUGUCUAUGUUCCUUGGAACAGGACGUCAUAGAGGGUGAGAAUCCCGUGUGGCGAGGAGUGCGGUUCUUUGUAAAGUGCCUUCGAAGAGUCGAGUUGUUUGGGAAUGCAGCUCUAAGUGGGUGGUAAAUUCCAUCUAAAGCUAAAUAUUGGCGAGAGACCGAUAGCGAACAAGUACAGUGAUGGAAAGAUGAAAAGAACUUUGAAAAGAGAGUGAAAAAGUACGUGAAAUUGUUGAAAGGGAAGGGCAUUUGAUCAGACAUGGUGUUUUGUGCCCUCUGCUCCUUGUGGGUAGGGGAAUCUCGCAUUUCACUGGGCCAGCAUCAGUUUUGGUGGCAGGAUAAAUCCAUAGGAAUGUAGCUUGCCUCGGUAAGUAUUAUAGCCUGUGGGAAUACUGCCAGCUGGGACUGAGGACUGCGACGUAAGUCAAGGAUGCUGGCAUAAUGGUUAUAUGCCGCCCGU